rnacentral:rRNA from 1 species
AUGGCUUUCAUCGUGUCCAAGCUCGCGCGGGCAGCCCUCGCAUCCCGCCCCGUUGGAGAUAUUGCUGGUGGCAUCUCCCCGUGUCUCUCCCGGCUCUAUCUGGCGGCUAGUACCAGCCGUCGCAUGUUUGCAGCUGCAGGCGGUCCCAAGUCAAAAGAAGCACCCCGAAUAUUUCCCCUUGUUGAUGAGAAUUCCAUUAAGUCGAAGGAAUCCCUAUGGGCCUUGUAUGAAUGCUGGUGCAAGUAUUGGGGGGUAUCCCGUGACCGUGAAGAGAUGGUCCGCCGGUUCAAGUCAUUUGAGGCUACUGCACAGUGGGUUUACAAAAUGAACAACUCUGGGUGUUCGCAAGUGUCUCAACUGGGCCCGCAUGCAGAUAUGUCAGAGAGUGAGUUUGAUCAGGUGUUUCCUCCACUUGAGGAUGAUGAUGAAGACAUAAAAGAGAUGGUGCCAGGUGAAGAUUUGGGCCAGGAGCUUGAGGAGCCCUUAAAUAAUUAA